rnacentral:rRNA from 1 species
CCUACGGGAGGCUGCAGUGGGGAAUAUUGGACAAUGGGGGCAACCCUGAUCCAGCCAUGCCGCGUGUGUGAAGAAGGCCCUCGGGUUGUAAAGCACUUUCAGUGAGGAAGAACGCCUGGUGGUUAAUACCCAUCAGGAAAGACAUCACUCACAGAAGAAGCACCGGCUAACUCCGUGCCAGCAGCCGCGGUAAUACGGAGGGUGCGAGCGUUAAUCGGAAUUACUGGGCGUAAAGCGCGCGUAGGUGGCUUGAUAAGCCGGUUGUGAAAGCCCCGGGCUCAACCUGGGAACGGCAUCCGGAACUGUCAAGCUAGAGUGCAGGAGAGGAAGGUAGAAUUCCCGGUGUAGCGGUGAAAUGCGUAGAGAUCGGGAGGAAUACCAGUGGCGAAGGCGGCCUUCUGGACUGACACUGACACUGAGGUGCGAAAGCGUGGGUAGCAAACAGGAUUAGAUACCCCUGUAGUC